AAGAAGUUCGUCCCCUUUGUGAGGCCCGGGAUGGGAGGCGCCCGGUUCCCCCAGGGGCAGCUUCAAGCGGUAGGGACAGACAUCUGAGGACCCAGCCUCAGGGAUGCUGUCCCCGGGCUUCCAGGCUCCAGCGCCGUAGGACUGAGGCAGACUCCACGCUCUGUCUUCCCAGGAUUCUCCCCAUUUCCAAGAGAAGAGCACAGAAGAGGGAGAAGUGGCUGCUCUGCGCCUCACGGCCAGAUCCCAGGAAACAGUGACAUUCAAGGAUGUGGCCAUGGACUUUACACCAGAGGAGUGGGGGAAGCUGGAUCCUGCACAAAGGGAUGUGAUGCUGGAGAACUAUAGGAACCUAGUCUCACUUUGGCUUCCAGUUUCCAAACCUGAGAACUACAACUUGGAGAAUGGAAAAGAACCAUUGAAGCUUGAGAGAAAAGCCCCCAAAAGCAGCUAUUCAGAAAACUGAUUAUAUUCCUGGUCCCUGAACGAUCCUAUAGAGACAUCCAGUCCCUGACUCCACCUGCCUCCAGGUGCCCAGAACAGCCCAUCGUGGGGACUUCACCCUCAGCAAGUGGACGCCGUUUGUCCUGCCAGGGCAGGAUGGAGAUGGAUGAGGACCCGGA
rnacentral:sRNA from 1 species